AAGUCGUAACAAGGUUUCCGUAGGUGAACCUGCGGAAGGAUCAUUAAUGAUUGGUGGCUGUUGCUGACUAGUGUUUCUAGUAUGUGCACGCCACACCUUCAAUCCCACUUACACCUGUGCACCUUCUGUAGUACUCACUUGUGGACGCAGACGUGGAAGUCUUCACUGACAUUCCUACUAUGCUGAAGCAGUAUACUACGUUUUUUUACACACACAAGAGUCAUUGAAUGUAUAUUUUAUUUCUUAUGAUAAAAACAACUUUCAACAACGGAUCUCUUGGCUCUC
rnacentral:misc_RNA from 1 species